rnacentral:rRNA from 1 species
UACGUAGGGUGCGAGCGUUAAUCGGAAUUACUGGGCGUAAAGCGUGCGCAGGCGGUCGUGCAUGACAGAUGUGAAAUCCCCGGGCUUAACCUGGGAACUGCAUUUGUGACUGCACGGCUAGAGUGUGUCAGAGGGGGGUAGAAUUCCACGUGUAGCAGUGAAAUGCGUAGAUAUGUGGAGGAAUACCGAUGGCGAAGGCAGCCCCCUGGGAUAACACUGACGCUCAUGCACGAAAGCGUGGGGAGCAAACAGG